rnacentral:tRNA from 1 species
UCCCUAGUAGUUCAGUUGGUAAAGAAUCUGCCUGCAAUGCAGGAGACCCAGGUUUGAUUCCUGGGUUGGGAA